rnacentral:tRNA from 1 species
UCCCAUGUUUUCCAGUGGUUGGGAAUCCUGGCUUUCACCCAGGCGGCCCGGGUUCGAUUCCCGGCAUGGGAA